rnacentral:lncRNA from 1 species
AAGUUCUCAAUCCUAGGGCUAGCAGACUAAACCAGCAGCUGGUUGCCUGGUUCCACAACCAGCAGCUGGUUGCCUGGUUCCAUAACUCACUUUCACUCUCUCUCAAAACACCCUUCUUUUUUCUUUACUUCAUUUGCCUCAGAUUGUCUCCAGUCUCCAGACUCUAUCUUCUGUGCUCUCGCGUUUCACCUCUCUGUAUCAUGUUAGGUUUUUUUCUUGCCAUACUUGAUUCUUAAAGACUUGUUUUGGAGAUAUGGUUGCUGUAAAUCUUGUUCUUGUUUCUCAAUUAUGAAUUAUUGCUAGCUAAAGACCUCAGGUAAAGUGAAAAUAAAUGAAAUUUUACCCUUUGUCUGAAAAUAAGAUUUAAAUUUUACAGUUUCCUUCAUAAAUUUGAUUUUGGCUUUUGCGUGUUGAAGUUCUCUUCUGUGAGCAAAAAUGUUGUCUUCAAAUACUUACAACUUACAAGGUACCCUGUUUAUGCCCGAUUGAAGGUGAAGGUUUGCUAGAGGAAGGGUAGUGUUAUUAAUACCUGUCAUUAAAGUUGUGACCAUUCUUAAAUCUUAGGCUUUAAAGUUUGGUAGAUGAAGAAUAAACUUUGUUGCUAUUUCAUGAUGCAAUUGAGAUUUGUGAAGCCAUCUCCAUAUAGGAACAAUACUAGCCCUUUAAUGCCUCUUUACAAUGAUAUUUAAUGAUGACAGUAGGAGUCAACUUAAUGGAUGCUUAUUUCUUAUAAUGGAUGCUUUAAAAGAAGCUGAAGAUUGGAUGGCCUACAUUGUUCACAACUGAAACUUAUGAUCUUCAUGUGUAAACAC